rnacentral:misc_RNA from 1 species
CGCACAUUGCGCCCAUUAGUAUUCUAGUGGGCAUGCCUAUUCGAGCGUCAUUUCGACCCUUAAGCCCUGUUGCUUAGCGUUGGGAGACUGCUAAACCCCCUCCGGGGGGUGCAGCUCCUCAAAGUUAGUGGCGGAGCUGCAGCACACUCUGAGCGUAGUAACUUACACUUCUCGCUUCUGUAGUGGGCGCAGCGCCCUGCCGUAAAAAUAAGGACGGCUCACCCGUAGUGGUCCCGUCCUUCUAGUGGUUGACCUCGGAUUAGGUAGGAAUACCCGCUGAACUUAA